rnacentral:lncRNA from 1 species
AGUAACAGAGGGAUUGAGGGCCCUGCUCAGUGAGUUUACAUGUUAGAGGGAGUGGGGUAUAGUGACACAGUAACAGAGGGAUUGAGGGCCUGCUCAGUGAGUUUACAUGUUAGAGGGAGUGGGGUAUAGUGACACUGUAACAGAGGGAUUGAGGGGCCUGCUCAGUGAGUUUACAUGUUAGAGGGAGUGGGGUAUAGUGACACAGUAACAGAGGGAUUGAGGCCCUGCUCAGUGAGCUUACAUGUUAGAGGGAGUGGG